rnacentral:rRNA from 1 species
CUGGCGGCGUGCCUAACACAUGCAAGUCGAGCGGAGGAUAGCUGAUAGGUAACUUGAAGUUAUUCUUAGCGGCGGACGGGUGAGUAACACGUGGGCAACCUGCCUCGAAGAGGGGGAUAACACCGGGAAAUCGGUGCUAAUACCGCAUAACAUGCAUUAACCGCAUGGUUGAUGUAUCAAAGGAGAAAUCCGCUUUGAGAUGGGCCCGCGGCUGAUUAGCUAGUUGGUAAGGUAAAGGCUUACCAAGGCGACGAUCAGUAGCCGACCUGAGAGGGUGACCGGCCACACUGGAACUGAGACACGGUCCAGACUCCUACGGGAGGCAGCAGUGGGGAAUAUUGCGCAAUGAGGGAAACCCUGACGCAGCAACGCCGCGUGGAGGAAGAAGGUCUUCGGAUUGUAAACUCCUGUCUUUCGGGAAGAUAAUGACGGUACCGAAAGAGGAAGCCACGGCUAACUACGUGCCAGCAGCCGCGGUAAUACGUAGGUGGCGAGCGUUGUCCGGAA